UCGGCGCAAGCAAGGGGCGAGGGCGAGGCAGAGUGAGUCUUGUCCCGGGAGUGGUCGGUGUGGUGUCUCCUUGGUUCCUUGCCCUGUCCUGCCCGGGUGCUACUGUGAAGUUGAGUGUCAGUAAGAAGGGUGUGGAAGACGAGUCAUGCUGACAGGAAGGACUCGCGCUGGAAUCGAACAGGGAAAAUUUCUUUGUGUGGGCGUCUGUUGAAGCAUGGCAUGUAUGACUGUAUGGACACGUAUAGGCGUGUGCUGAAACAUGCAUGGCUUUGUGUGGCGUAUGUGGGCGAAUUGAAAAGUGUAGCCUCGCUCACAGCACGCCAUGAAAACAUGACUUCAUCGAAGAGUCGAGACCCAGACCGAUACUCGUGGGCCACCCGUCGUGACGGUCGUGGGCCGGCUGGCAGUGGUGAAGGAGACGCUGUGCGGGAAGGAUGUGCGUGUUGCUUCAGCUCAGCUCGUUAAGUGUGGUGGGUGUAAUGGACACUGAUGAAGUGUGACGCUGUGGUGGUUGAGAACAGUUGCAAGCCUUCUGUCACUGCCUUGCCUGGGUGGUCACUGGUCAAGCCGAGUUGCCUUCACUUGCCUGUUCAGUGCAAUUCUGCGCCUGCAGUGGAGCCUGUCACACGAAGCACCGCGCGGCGUGGACAGGUGACCGACGGUGACGGCGACGCGCGCUUGCUUGCUGAUUGGCGGCACAUGACCCUUCCACACCGAGGUGACGUGACCGCCAUGGUGGGAGCCAGUGGUGGCGGCGUCGUCGUGUGGAAGAACACGUCUUCAUGGCUGGUAACGUUCCGGAGGGAGAAGAGUGGGUGGACACACUGACGUGGCGAGGCUGUCCAUGCCAGCCGUCCUGUGCUGGCGAGCAGCAGGUGUCUGCGUCACGCACAGCAGGGACGCAUCAGGGCGGCAACCGAGAGAAGCAGCUCGUCCUCAGAAGUUGAAGGACCAAACAGGGGUUAGGAUUCAGCAGGCAGUAGUAGGGGGGAUGAUGAAAGCAUACACAUCUAUCGAGGUCCAUCUCGUGGCAGCGGCUGGAGCGUCUCUCCUGCACAUUAAGGAGGCACGACUAACGACACCACGCAGAGUCUCCCAAUUCAUCUAUGGCUGUUGUUUAGUUCUUUGCUGACGC